UAAAGAAAAUGUUUUAUUUAAGGUGUUAAAUACCAUCACCGGAAUGAAUUUGAUUUACAGUAGUUGGUGUUCAUUAUAGGACUAACCUGCCCUUUUUUUUUCCCCCAACUGGAAUUCCCUUUACUUUUAAAACAUACUAUGUACAGGGCAGCAACGGUCACUGGCGUAAUGCUAUUUACAUGAUUAAACCACAAGUCGAGGUGCAGACAUGUGAAAAUUAAAAAAAAUACACCAACUUUUAAAUAAAUACUGCAUAAUGACAAGUAUGUACAAAUAUUCCAUACAGUCAUGUCCUUCUUCUUAAAAUUAGAGAUAAUUUGUAUAGGAAUAUGCACAAAAGAUUAUAUGACUGCCUUUUAGUAUCAGGAAAAUGGUAAAUGAUUAUUCUAAGGGAUAGUAUAGACUCUAUAGGUCUAUUAAAUCAAUUGUUGCUGGUAAACAGGUAUCUAAAUUACUUCAUUAAUGUUUUAUUCGUUCUUUUAACAACUUUACCUGGGUCCAUCACAGAUCUCACAAUCUCAAGACACAGUCUUGGUGUAUUUCAUAUUGCACCACAUAAGGAGAAGGCAUUUUUAGUGAUACUCAUUUUAACUUUUGCACCCUUUCAAGCAUGAUGGUUUUUAAUGGUCAGCACUGAACUUAAAAAAACAAACAAAGAAAAUAAUUUUUGUGUAUGGUCUUAAAUUUAAACACAUGGGAUGUAUGUGGAUUUCAUGAGCUAUUGCAAGAAAUUAAAGUCAAUCUAUAAGAAUGUGUUAUCAAAGUGUACAUAAAAAAACAGAAAGUAUGGGUGCUUUAUUAGAUUAACCAGUGGCUUGUCCUCUAAAUAGGGGAACUUAAGAGAAAUGUGACCUUGCAGCACCACCCAAUGGUAAUAACUGUCCAUAAAAAUCAAAGGCAGGGGUUUUGAUUUUAGAGGAUUUUCACAUAGACUUUUGGUGAUGGCAUCAAAGAACUAUUAAUAGACAUAUCGACUUUCUUUGAGUCACCUAAAAAUUGGAGCUUUAAAAUUGUUGUUGGAAAUUUAUGUUUACUAUAUUUUUUUAGAAAUAUAAUUUGUGAAAAAUUGAAUUUUACUACAGAAAAAUGAAUUAAUAAACAGCCCUGUGUUUCAGGGCUCCAAAUUUUUAGCAGUGUUUGUAUUCACAUAGUAAAUGGAAAUUGGCUGAAGAAAUUGCUUUAACUAAUUAAAAAACAAACAAAACCUAAGACCUUCUACAAAUAAUACUUUAACCCCUGUGUCAAUAAUGCUGGUGCUAAAAACAAAUUUAUUAGACAUUAUAAUGGCCACAUGAUUUUAGGAUUCUCUUGUAAACUGAAUUUUGAAGGUGAAAAAAAUUACCAUGCACUGUACAGUAAAUUGCAAAAGUUCAAAUAUCUUCUUUGUCAAAUACAUGCU